rnacentral:rRNA from 1 species
UAAGCGACUAAGCGUACACGGUGGAUGCCCUGGCAGUCAGAGGCGAUGAAGGACGUGCUAAUCUGCGAUAAGCGUCGGUGAGGUGAUAUGAACCGUUAUAACCGGCGAUUUCCGAAUGGGGAAACCCAGUGUGUUUCGACACACUAUCAUUAACUGAAUCCAUAGGUUAAUGAGGCGAACCGGGGGAACUGAAACAUCUAAGUACCCCGAGGAAAAGAAAUCAACCGAGAUUCCCCCAGUAGCGGCGAGCGAACGGGGAGGAGCCCAGAGCCUGAAUCAGUGUGUGUGUUAGUGGAAGCGUCUGGAAAGGCGUGCGAUACAGGGUGACAGCCCCGUACACAAAAAUGCACAUAUUGUGAGCUCGAUGAGUAGGGCGGGACACGUGGUAUCCUGUCUGAAUAUGGGGGGACCAUCCUCCAAGGCUAAAUACUCCUGACUGACCGAUAGUGAACCAGUACCGUGAGGGAAAGGCGAAAAGAACCCCGGCGAGGGGAGUGAAAAAGAACCUGAAACCGUGUACGUACAAGCAGUGGGAGCCUCUUAAUGGGGUGACUGCGUACCUUUUGUAUAAUGGGUCAGCGACUUAUAUUCUGUAGCAAGGUUAACCGAAUAGGGGAGCCGAAGGGAAACCGAGUCUUAACUGGGCGUUAAGUUGCAGGGUAUAGACCCGAAACCCGGUGAUCUAGCCAUGGGCAGGUUGAAGGUUGGGUAACACUAACUGGAGGACCGAACCGACUAAUGUUGAAAAAUUAGCGGAUGACUUGUGGCUGGGGGUGAAAGGCCAAUCAAACCGGGAGAUAGCUGGUUCUCCCCGAAAGCUAUUUAGGUAGCGCCUCGUGAAUUCAUCUCCGGGGGUAGAGCACUGUUUCGGCAAGGGGGUCAUCCCGACUUACCAACCCGAUGCAAACUGCGAAUACCGGAGAAUGUUAUCACGGGAGACACACGGCGGGUGCUAACGUCCGUCGUGAAGAGGGAAACAACCCAGACCGCCAGCUAAGGUCCCAAAGUCAUGGUUAAGUGGGAAACGAUGUGGGAAGGCCCAGACAGCCAGGAUGUUGGCUUAGAAGCAGCCAUCAUUUAAAGAAAGCGUAAUAGCUCACUGGUCGAGUCGGCCUGCGCGGAAGAUGUAACGGGGCUAAACCAUGCACCGAAGCUGCGGCAGCGACACUAUGUGUUGUUGGGUAGGGGAGCGUUCUGUAAGCCUGUGAAGGUGGCCUGUGAGGGUUGCUGGAGGUAUCAGAAGUGCGAAUGCUGACAUAAGUAACGAUAAAGCGGGUGAAAAGCCCGCUCGCCGGAAGACCAAGGGUUCCUGUCCAACGUUAAUCGGGGCAGGGUGAGUCGACCCCUAAGGCGAGGCCGAAAGGCGUAGUCGAUGGGAAACAGGUUAAUAUUCCUGUACUUGGUGUUACUGCGAAGGGGGGACGGAGAAGGCUAUGUUGGCCGGGCGACGGUUGUCCCGGUUUAAGCGUGUAGGCUGGUUUUCCAGGCAAAUCCGGAAAACCAAGGCUGAGGCGUGAUGACGAGGCACUACGGUGCUGAAGUGACAAAUGCCCUGCUUCCAGGAAAAGCCUCUAAGCAUCAGGUAACAUCAAAUCGUACCCCAAACCGACACAGGUGGUCAGGUAGAGAAUACCAAGGCGCUUGAGAGAACUCGGGUGAAGGAACUAGGCAAAAUGGUGCCGUAACUUCGGGAGAAGGCACGCUGAUAUGUAGGUGAAGCGACUUGCUCGUGGAGCUGAAAUCAGUCGAAGAUACCAGCUGGCUGCAACUGUUUAUUAAAAACACAGCACUGUGCAAACACGAAAGUGGACGUAUACGGUGUGACGCCUGCCCGGUGCCGGAAGGUUAAUUGAUGGGGUUAGCGGUAACGCGAAGCUCUUGAUCGAAGCCCCGGUAAACGGCGGCCGUAACUAUAACGGUCCUAAGGUAGCGAAAUUCCUUGUCGGGUAAGUUCCGACCUGCACGAAUGGCGUAAUGAUGGCCAGGCUGUCUCCACCCGAGACUCAGUGAAAUUGAACUCGCUGUGAAGAUGCAGUGUACCCGCGGCAAGACGGAAAGACCCCGUGAACCUUUACUAUAGCUUGACACUGAACAUUGAGCCUUGAUGUGUAGGAUAGGUGGGAGGCUUUGAAGUGUGGACGCCAGUCUGCAUGGAGCCGACCUUGAAAUACCACCCUUUAAUGUUUGAUGUUCUAACGUUGGCCCGUAAUCCGGGUUGCGGACAGUGUCUGGUGGGUAGUUUGACUGGGGCGGUCUCCUCCUAAAGAGUAACGGAGGAGCACGAAGGUUGGCUAAUCCUGGUCGGACAUCAGGAGGUUAGUGCAAUGGCAUAAGCCAGCUUGACUGCGAGCGUGACGGCGCGAGCAGGUGCGAAAGCAGGUCAUAGUGAUCCGGUGGUUCUGAAUGGAAGGGCCAUCGCUCAACGGAUAAAAGGUACUCCGGGGAUAACAGGCUGAUACCGCCCAAGAGUUCAUAUCGACGGCGGUGUUUGGCNCCUCGAUGUCGGCUCAUCACAUCCUGGGGCUGAAGUAGGUCCCAAGGGUAUGGCUGUUCGCCAUUUAAAGUGGUACGCGAGCUGGGUUUAGAACGUCGUGAGACAGUUCGGUCCCUAUCUGCCGUGGGCGCUGGAGAACUGAGGGGGGCUGCUCCUAGUACGAGAGGACCGGAGUGGACGCAUCACUGGUGUUCGGGUUGUCAUGCCAAUGGCACUGCCCGGUAGCUAAAUGCGGAAGAGAUAAGUGCUGAAAGCAUCUAAGCACGAAACUUGCCCCGAGAUGAGUUCUCCCUGACUCCUUGAGGGUCCUGAAGGAACGUUGAAGACGACGACGUUGAUAGGCCGGGUGUGUAAGCGCAGCGAUGCGUUGAGCUAACCGGUACUAAUGAACCGUGAGGCUUAACCU